GGUGCUGGAGGAGGAAACCGGCGGAGCAGCUUCCUCACUCUCAGUUGCGCGUCUGGCGAUGGCGAUCAGAGGUCCUGCUGCGCUCCCCGCUGCGCUCUCCCUCCAUUAGCCGCGCUGCCCCGCUUUGCGCCCUCGCUGGUCCUCUCGCCUGGGUUCCAGGAUCGGCGCCCCCUUCCAGGCACGAUCCCCUCCCCCGGCCCCUCGGCCUUUCCCCCACUCGGCCGUCUCCGACCCGGGGCGCGCGUUCGCCCAGCCCGGCUCCCUCUCUCCCUCCGGGGACACCGCUCCCUAGCCCCAGCCCGGCCCUCCCCGCGGCGCAGCACGGAGUCUCCGCGUCCCAUGGCGCAACCCACUGCCUCGGCCCAAAAGCUGGUGCGGCCGAUCCGCGCCGUGUGCCGCAUCCUGCAGAUCCCGGAGUCCGACCCCUCCAACCUGCGGCCCUAGAGCGCUCCCGCUGCCCCGGGGGAGAGAGAGCGCCAGCGCGCUGAGCACGGAGCGCGGGGUAAGGAGGCCUCGCCCGCCGGCCGGGAGGCCCCGGAGCCAGCCCAUGGGGAGCGAGCGUCCGACGCCGGCCCCGAGGACCACCGCCCGAGCCGCACCUGGCCCGUGAAGCCCAGGGACCCCCUCUGGGAGAGCCCCAUGAGGGCAGGAGAGUGAUGGAGAGUACGCCCAGCUUCCUGAAGGAUACCCCAGCCUGGGAGAAGACUGCCCCUGAGAAUGGCAUCAUGGGACGAGAGCCGAAUGCCCUGCCACGAGACGGCCUGCGCCACGGGGCACUGUGCCUGGGAGAGCCUGCUCCCUUCUGGAGGGGUGUCCUGAGCACCCCAAACUCCUGGCUUCCCCCUGGCUUCCCUCAGGGCCCCAAGGACACGCUCCCACUGGUGGAGAGUGAAGGCCCCCGGAAUGGGGAGAGGAAGGCCAGCUGGCUGGGCGGCAAGGAGGGGCUGUGCUGGAAAGAGGCGAUGCUCACCCAUCCACUGGCAUUAUAUGGGUCAGCAUGCCCGCCUCGCUAUGGCCCCCUGAUUCCUGAGCAUAGCAGUGGCCAUCCAAAAAGUGACCCUGUGGCCUUCCGGCCCUUGCACUGCCCCUUCCUGCUGGAGACCAAGAUCUUGGAGCGAGCUCCCUUCUGGGUGCCCACCUGCUUACCACCCUACCUAGUGUCCAGCCUGCCUCCAGAGCGUCCAUGUGACUGGCCCCUGGCCCCGCACCCCUGGGUGUACUCCGGGGGCCAGCCCAAAGUGCCCUCUGCUUUCAGCUUAGGCAGCAAGGGUUUUUACCAUAAGGAUCCGAAUAUUCUCAGGCUGGCAAAGGAGCCGUUGGCAACGGUGGACCCUGGGUUGUUGGGCUUAGCCCCUGGCGGGCCGCUCCAGAGAAGCGGGGAGGCAGAGUGCCCUUCGCUCCACCCGAGGGAUGGAGAGACAGGCCUCGGCAGGCAUCAGAAUCUCUGCCCACUUCUCCUGGGGCAUCCAGACACUGUUCCCCGGACCCCCUGGCCCAUUUGUCCCCCAGGCCUUGUUCAUACUCUUGGCAACGUCUGGACUGUCCCGGGCGGUGGGGGCCUUGGGUACCAGCUGAGGCCAUCAACCACAUCAAGGUGCCCCUCUCCUGGGCCUCCCACCACCCAGGUGGGCUGUUACUCAUCCCACCCACCUGCUGGAGAUGGAGGCCUUGACCCUUGUGGGAAGUGCCAGGAGGGCCUGGAGGGGGGUGCCAGGGGGUCCAGCGAGUCCAUCGAGGAAGCAAACAAGGCCUCUGGUCCCAGGGCCUGCCUGCCCAACCACCACACCAAGCUGAAGAAGACGUGGCUCACGAGACACUCGGAGCAGUUCGGGUGCCCGGGAGGCUGCCCUGGGGACGAGGAGAGCCCAGCUGCCCCGCUUCAGGCCCUCAAGAGGGCAAGUAGCCCUGAGGUCCAGGGAGUGGCCGGCAGCCCAGCCGCCAAGCGCCCCCCUGACCCUUUCCCAGGCAGUGCAGGGCAGGACGUCCUGGACUCAUCACUGGGGAACAAGGCGGAGGCAGAACAGCGCGCUGACCGCAGAGGACCCCGAGAUGGCAGGGCCGGCCUCCAGGACCCAGGGCGUCAGGAUGCACCUUGCUCAGCUCCCCCGGCAGGCAUUGCUCAGUGCCAAAGCUGUGCCCAGGCAGCGGGCGAGGUGGGAGGGCUGGCCUGCCACUCCCAGCAAGUGCCCAGAUCGUCUCUGGGAGGGGAGCAGCAGGAGGAAGACUCGGCAGCCAGCUCCGAGGAGGGAGGAGGCUCGGGCCCGAAGGCCGGGCCCAGCGUGGGCCUCGCCAAACACCUUCUGAGUGGUUUGGGGGACCGACUGUGCCGCCUGCUGCGGAGGGAGCGGGAGGCCCUGGCCUGGGCACAGCGGGAAGGCCUGCGCGUCCUUCCCGGCUUGUCCACCCCUUCUGACCUUGGCACUUUCUGCUGCUUCUGUCUGGAAGGCCCUUCUCAUCCCCUCCCACCUGCAGGCCAGGGGCCAGCUAGGACAGAGGACAACCCAGGCGUUCCAGGUUGCUGCAGCCGCUGCCACCAUGGACUCUUCAACACCCACUGGAGAUGCCCCCGCUGCAGCCACCGGCUGUGUGUGGCCUGUGGUCGCAUGGAGGGUGCUGGGAGGGCCAGGGAGAAAGCAGGCUCUCCGGAGCAGCCCACGGAGGAGUGUGCCCAGGAGGCUGGGCACAGCGCCUCCUCCCUGAUGCUCACCCAGUUUGUUUCCAGCCAGGUCACCACCAAACUCCAUCUCUCCCCCGCCGGCCCCCCACCUCCAGCUUUGGCAGAACUGAGCACCGCAAUGCACCAGGUCUGGAUCAAGUUUGAUAUCCGGGAGCACUGUCCCUGCCAAGCUGAUGCCCAGGUGUGGGCCCCUGGGGAUGGGGGCCAGCAGAAGGAGCCUAGAGAGAAAAACACCCCAACUCCACAACCUUCCUGCACGGAGGACACCAACAGGACCAAGGACAUCAAAGCGGAGACCCUGGACUCCACAGAGACGCCUGCCAAGGACCGUGCCAGCCGAGGGCCCCUGCCUUGUCCCUCUCUCUGUGAACUGCUGGCCUCCACCGCUGUCAAACUCUGCUUGGGGCAUGAGCGGAUACAUAUGGCCUUUGCCCCUGUCACUCCAGCCCUGCCCAGCGAUGACCGAAUCACCAAUAUCCUGGACAGCAUCAUCGCGCAGGUAGUGGAACGGAAGAUCCAGGAGAAAGCCCUGGGGCCUGGGCUGCGGCCGGGGCCAGCCCUGCGCAAGGGCCUGGGCCUGCCCCUCUCACCAGUGCGGCCUAGGCUGCCUCCGCCGGGGGCUUUGCUGUGGCUGCAGGAGCCCAGGCCUCGGCGAGGCUUCCACCUCUUCCAGGAGCACUGGAGGCAGGGCCAGCCUGUGUUGGUGUCAGGGAUUCAGAGGACAUUGCAAGGCAGCCUGUGGGGGACCGAGGCUCUUGAGGCGCUUGGAGGCCAGGUGCAGGCGCUGACCCCCCUCGGGCCUCCGCAGCCUACAAACCUGGGCGCGGCGGCCUUCUGGGAUGGAUUCUCCCGGCCUGAGAUUCGCCCAAAGUCAUCUGAGGGCUCGGUCCUCCUGCUGCACAGAGCUCUGCGGGAUGAGGACGCAAGCAGGCUGGAGAACCUGGCUGCCAGCCUGCCCCUCCCAGAGUACUGUGCCCAACAUGGGAAACUCAACCUGGCUUCCUACCUCCCACCGGGCCCUGCCCUGUGUCCACUGGAGCCCCAGCUGUGGGCAGCCUAUGGUGUAAGCCCACACCGUGGGCACCUGGGGACCAAGAACCUCUGUGUGGAGGUGACUGACCUGGUCAGCAUCCUGGUCCGUGCUGAAGCCCCACUGCCUGCCUGGCAUCGGGCACAGAAAGACUUCCUCUCAGGCCUGGAUGGGGAGGGGCUCUGGUCUCCAGGCAGCCAGGUCAGCACCGUGUGGCACGUGUUCCGGGCACAGGACGCCCAACGCAUCCGCCGUUUUCUCCAGAUGUAUGUCCUCUCUGCUUGCCCUUCAAGACUUGAACACUCAGCUGUUUCCAGUGCCCACAGCCCUGCCCUCGCCUCCCUCCCUUGCUCAUUCCCCUUUCUCUUCUUUGAGGUGUGUCCGGCUGGGGCAGGCAACCUGGAGCCUGGCACCCCAGGAAGCUGCUACCUGGAUGCAGGGCUUCGGCGGCGCCUACGGGAGGAGUGGGGUGUGAGCUGCUGGACCCUGCUGCAGGCCCCCGGAGAGGCCGUGCUGGUCCCUGCAGGGGCUCCCCACCAGGUGUGUCCCCAGGGGCCCGGCUCUGCUGAGAGCUCAGAGUGCCAGAAACAGCAAGAACAGCAGCACAGCGAUGCUGCAUCCCCCACCUGGUGCAGGGCCUGGUAAGCACAGUGAGUGUCACUCAGCACUUCAUGUCCCCCGAGACCUCUGCCCUCUCUGCUCAGCUCUGCCACCAGGGAUCCAGCCUGUCCCCUGACUGCCGCCUGCUUUGUGCCCAGGUGGACUGGGCUGUGUUCCAAGCAGUGAAGUUGGCUGUGGGAACAUUACGGGAGGCUAAAUAGAGGGAUCCCAGGUGUCUGGGGUAGAGGUGGUGGGUAGGUAGACCAGGUGCUCAGCUCAGGCACAGCAUAAGCAGAGAAGACACUGGGGACUUGGGGACUUUUGGUCAAUUCCACACGCACCACUCUGGGUACCAGCAGGACACCCUGUUUCCCGCUUCUAACCUGGGCCCUAAAGCCAACAACCACAGUACCACUGAAGUUCACGCCUGCCCUUCGCAGGCUGGCACCUGCUCCGCCCCGUGCCCGUCUCCAUGGUACCAGGCCCACACUGGGGGUGACUGACUCCCUUCACCCGCUGCCCCCCAACCCAAGAGACAAACAGCCUUUCCUUGGGGGACUUUGGGAAUCACUCUGGCUUAAGCAACACCUUCUACUCCCUCAUCUCCUGCUGUCCCACCUGCGCCAAGCUCUGUUACACACCCACCUCCUCACGGGACUCUGGGCGCCCAUGCACUGCAGGCAUCUGGACAAGGGGCCGCUGAAAUCCUGCCCUCUUGUUCGAGAGAGAGCUGUGACGCGUGGGGCGGGGCAGCCUCAGGACACUACCCAGGCUUGGCUGAAGGGAAUGACAGGGGUGAGGCCCUGUCCCUGUUCCCUCCUCUCACCUCCCUCCUUCCUAUUUUCCAUUAAAGUCUGUCGUUUUCUGAAAGCCACCAGGCCAGUGUGGUUGGCCCUGCUCCUGCUGGCCACAUAGAUUGGGGAAGGAGGGGAGACAUGGAAAUGGAACCAGGUGGGCAGGAGCUGGGCUGUCCCUGACGGGGGCCUCAGGCACCCCUGCCUGCUCUUCUUCCCUGGACCUGGGUCCCUCCCUCUCACUGAGCAGAUGGAGCCUUCCAGGGGGGUACCCUGAGGAUGCUCCUGACAAGCGACAAUAGCAAGGCAGAGCCCUGGGCACAGCAGCAAGGUGGCUUGAACCCCAACCCUCCCCGAAAACUCCAGGCUGCCCCAUCUCUUCCAUCUGAUCUGACUUGGAGCUCCGGGAGUGUGGCCCAGGAGAGCCCCGGCCAGGGCUUGGCCUGCUGCCUGCGCCGGUUGGCAGCCCCUCCCCAUCCCCAGGGCUCUCUGUGUGGCUCUGCCUGUUGCCCUGCCCUAGCACACCUCAGCCAGCAUGCUCCCACUCGUCAUACCUGAUUGUUCUGCGGUGGUUCGGGAAAUGUGUGUGUGAUUUUUUUAAUAAAAUAAAAUUUUUUAUUAUAAAUUUAA